GACGAACGCUGGCGGCGUGCUUAACACAUGCAAGUCGAACGCUGAAGCUCAGCUUUUGUUGGGUGGAUGAGUGGCGAACGGGUGAGUAACACGUGAGUAACCUGCCUCCUUCUUUGGGAUAACGCCCGGAAACGGGUGCUAAUACCGGAUAUUCACUGGUCUUCGCAUGGGGGUUGGUGGAAAGGGUUUUUCUGGUGGGGGAUGGGCUCGCGGCCUAUCAGCUUGUUGGUGGGGUGAUGGCCUACCAAGGCUUUGACGGGUAGCCGGCCUGAGAGGGUGACCGGUCACAUUGGGACUGAGAUACGGCCCAGACUCCUACGGGAGGCAGCAGUGGGGAAUAUUGCACAAUGGGCGCAAGCCUGAUGCAGCGACGCCGCGUGAGGGAUGGAGGCCUUCGGGUUGUGAACCUCUUUCGCUCAUGGUCAAGCCGCAACAAUGGUUGUGGUGAGGGUAGUGGGUAAAGAAGCGCCGGCUAACUACGUG
rnacentral:rRNA from 1 species